GGAACCUAUAGUGCAAUAUGCAGGGACCAUGAUGGCAAAUAUUUGGGCUCAUCAGCCAUCAAAGUCUCGGGUAUCACGGACCCGAGGACUCUCGAGGCGUUAGCUUGUCGUGAGGCGCUUGCUCUAGCCCUGGAUCUUGGGCUGCCAAAUGUACUUGUUGCCCCAGAUUGCAAAGUUGUGGUGAACGACAUCAAGCUAGGAACGGGAGGUAUGUAUGAAAGCAUAGUGAAGGAAAUAAGAAAUACUUCCGAGCAAUUUCAGCAAUGCACCUUCAUCUUCGAAGGUCGCGAUACUAAUCUUGAGGCACAUAGCCUUGCUAAGCACACCUUUAGUCUGGACUUAGGGCGCCAUUUGUGGCUUAUAAACCCUCCAGACUUGAAUUGUAUCCCUAUGAACAUUUUAGAGUAA
rnacentral:rRNA from 1 species